CCCUCCUACAAAGAUGUGUCUGUGGUUCCCUGUCCUUGGACGCACAAGACUUGGAGGCAGAGAGAUGUGUGUGGACUUGAAGUGUGGUGCCAGCUUGCUCCCUGCAGGUUCAAGAUCACCCUUCCCACACUG